GUCGGGAAUCUUGGGCAAUGGGCGAAAGCCUGACCCAGCAACGCCGCGUGAGGGAUGAAGGCCUUCGGGUCGUAAACCUCUGUCAGGAGGGAAGAACGGUCUGUGGGUGAAUAAUCCAGGGGCCUGACGGUACCUUCAAAGGAAGCGCCGGCUAACUCCGUGCCAGCAGCCGCGGUAAUACGGAGGGCGCAAGCGUUGUUCGGAAUCAUUGGGCGUAAAGCGCGCGUAGGCGGCACGGCAAGUCGGGUGUGAAAUCCCGGGGCUCAACCCCGGAACUGCACUCGAAACUGCCGAGCUAGAGUCUCGGAGAGGAAGGCGGAAUUCCCGGUGUAGAGGUGAAAUUCGUAGAUAUCGGGAGGAACACCAGUGGCGAAGGCGGCCUUCUGGACGAUGACUGACGCUGAGGUGCGAAAGCGUGGGGAGCAAACAGG
rnacentral:rRNA from 1 species